GGAGCCGCUCGCUGCAGCCUGUAGGAAGGCGGAGUUGGACAUCCAACCCCGCCCACAUCCAACUCCGCCCAUGUCCAACUCCGCCUUACGUCUAAAGCAACACCCACCUUACGUCCGUCACGAACGCCUACAUUUACUCCAGGUAAACAGGAAUUGUAGCCGAGAAAGCAGCUAAAGCAUCUAUCUGAUUUAUAUCUCCGGUUAUGGCGCAUCCAACACAUGUCCAGGCCACUCCUGACCCUUCACGGUUUGGCCAGUGUGGUGUUUUCAAAUGCCCCUGCUUCAGUUUUGACACUGACCAGCGAUUUAAUAACAGCCUACAUCUACAAAACCAUAUCAAACAAGCAGUCGAGAAUAACGGAAAGUUCAGCGUGUUGAACGUGUGACUGAUGAAGGAGAUAGAAUGGGCAACGUCUCCUUUGAACAGAUGCCCCUUAUUCUCAUAGAUACAGUUCUGGAAGAGGGUGACAAAGCUUUUUUAAAGCUGUCACUGGUUUGUCGUCUCUUCCGGGACAUUGUUUGGACAACAAUCAUUCCGGGCCCGGGCACAUUUCGAGUGGCUUGACAGUGUAGUGCCAUGAAAACAUCACAGUGCUGCAUGUAAAGACGAGUUUCGCAGGAUGUACGAACUGCAGUGCUGCCAGAACUGUCAAGAAACUUAUAAAGACUGCAUACUGGGCUACGUUGGGCAUGGGAGACGAGGGGAGCUUGUGGCAUUUUACAGCGAAAACGAGCACCCUGGAUUCUGCAGCCAGCUUCAUGAGUGGCUGGGUGUGUGAGUGGCUGGGUGUGUGAGUGGCUGGGUGUGUGAGUGGCUGGGUGUGUGAGUGGCUGGGUGUGUGAGUGGCUGGGUGUUGCAUUUUUAAAUAAAGACUUCUGUAUUUGUUUGACCAAAGCAUGUAACCAAACAUUUUAAAGGCUAGUGUGCCAAUAAAUGCCAAUAAAGAUAUUGUAUUAGCUUGGACAAAGUGUUUGUAAAUGGAGUUAAUUUCCCUGGGAACUACUGUCAGCCAUACAAAAUUGGGAGAGGAGAAGCAGGAAAGGGAUAUUAUUAUUAUUAUUAUUAUUAUUAUUAUUAUUAUUAUUAUUAUUAUUAUUGACAAAAUAGCUAUGUAUACAUACAUUUUUAAUUUCUGAAACCACAGCAUUUGAUAUAUUGUACUCUAUCGUUAUACACUAUCCAGCAUACCAUUAUUACCACCUGCUUGUUUCUGCUUCUAUUAUUCUUUUUUUAGCUCCAAUUAGCAUCUAGGACACUUUAGUUGCAUAAUGGUUUACUGGUGU